rnacentral:rRNA from 1 species
GGUGAGUAAUACAUCGGAACGUGCCCAAUCGUGGGGGAUAACGCAGCGAAAGCUGUGCUAAUACCGCAUACGAUCUACGGAUGAAAGCAGGGGAUCGCAAGACCUUGCGCGAAUGGAGCGGCCGAUGGCAGAUUAGGUAGUUGGUGAGGUAAAGGCUCACCAAGCCUUCGAUCUGUAGCUGGUCUGAGAGGACGACCAGCCACACUGGGACUGAGACACGGCCCAGACUCCUACGGGAGGCAGCAGUGGGGAAUUUUGGACAAUGGGCGAAAGCCUGAUCCAGCCAUGCCGCGUGCAGGAUGAAGGCCUUCGGGUUGUAAACUGCUUUUGUACGGAACGAAACGGCCUUUUCUAAUAAAGAGGGCUAAUGACGGUACCGUAAGAAUAAGCACCGGCUAACUACGUGCCAGCAGCCGCGGUAAUACGUAGGGUGCAAGCGUUAAUCGGAAUUACUGGGCGUAAAGCGUGCGCAGGCGGUUAUGUAAGACAGUUGUGAAAUCCCCGGGCUCAACCUGGGAACUGCAUCUGUGACUGCAUAGCUAGAGUACGGUAGAGGGGG